CGGAGGCUACUGCUAUCGGGGUUCGAUUAANCCAUGCGAGUUAAAUGUUNUUCGUGAACAUAGCGAACUGCUCAGUAACACGUGGAUAACCUACCCUUAGGACCGGAAUAACCCCGGGAAACUGGGGAUAAUACCGGAUAAGCCAUAGACGCUGGAAUGCCCUAUGGUUCAAAGCUCCGGCGCCUAAGGAUGGAUCUGCGGUCUAUCAGGUUGUAGUGGGUGUAACGUACCUACUAGCCGACGACGGGUACGGGUUGUGAGAGCAAGAGCCCGGAGAUGGAUUCUGAGACACGAAUCCAGGCCCUACGGGGUGCAGCAGGCGCGAACACUUUACAAUGCGGGAAACCGCGAUAAGGGAACCCCGAGUGCCAGCAUCAAAUGUUGGCUGUCCAGAUGGUUAAAAAUCAUUUGUUAGCAAGGGCCGGGCAAGACCGGUGCCAGCCGCCGCGGUAACACCGGCGGCCCGAGUGGUAGCCGUUUUUAUUGGGUCUAAAGGGUCCGUAGCCGGCCUGAUAAGUCCUUUGGGAAAUCUGACAGCUUAACUGUCAGGCUUCUAAGGGAUACUGUCAGGCUUGGGACCGGAAGAGGUAAGGGGUACUCCAGGGGUAGGAGUGAAAUCUUGUAAUCCCUGGUGGACCAUCUGCGGCGAAGGCGCCUUACCAGAACGGGUCCGACGGUGAGGGACGAAAGCUAGGGGAGCAAACCGGAUUAGAUACCCGGGUAGUCCUAGCUGUAAACGAUGCUCGCUAGGUGUCAGACACGGUGCGACCGUGUUUGGUGCCGCAGGGAAGCCGUUAAGCGAGCCACCUGGGAAGUACGGUCGCAAGGCUGAAACUUAAAGGAAUUGGCGGG
rnacentral:rRNA from 1 species